rnacentral:lncRNA from 1 species
CCCAGGUCAAAAUAGGGGUGGCACUCAGAGACUGUUGGGUGAACAGCAUUUAUGUUUCCUUAUUCCUUCACUUCCAGAAAUGCCCAGUGCUGCCAACUCCAGGGAGCACAGAGGGUUCUGUGGUCUCUUAUUGGGCUGACUUUUGGCUUUCCAGGCAUCUAGCCCUGUCUUAGAUUUCUUGAUUCUGUCAAAUUCAUUGUCCUUUGCCUGUAUACUUUUGGAGCAUUCAAGAUUUAUUCCUGUUUCCUUCUUUCCUGCUUCAUCUUGUCCUUGUGAGCUUGUCUCUCUUUAAACACUCCCUUUGCUGCACUCUCAGUGAGGCAUGGGGAGGGAGGGAAGGAGGGAGACUCUGUUCUCAACUCUCAACAGCAGGUCUGGAUGUUUACUUUCAUUUGUACAUCUCUGUGAGUGAGGGCCUGAUUCUGGACACUUCACAUGCACUGUCAACAAAGCUUCACGCUCCCUGCCUGAUGGUCCACUGGUCAUUGUUCCAGGCCCGGGGUACCAGACAAACUACUUGAAAUCUGGGCUGUCCCAGAAGGUGUGGGCCAUCACCAUUUGUACCUGGGGAGAUGCAAGAGGAGAUGCAUGCUGUUGUGUUAACAUUCUCCCAAGGACACAGACAUUUACUCACCUUAGGAUCAGAAGAGAUCAGGAAGGAGAGAGAAAGAGCGAGGGACUCAGUUCAGAAGCCAGCAUAAGCCUCCGGUCUUCUCUGCUUUCCGGUUGGGUUCUCUUCUGGAUGGGUGUGUGGCAGAGCGGCAGGUGUAAGGCCUGGCUCGGUCUCAGCAUCACUUUCUUCAAAGUUCUCUUGGAUUUUUUUUUUUUUUUUGGCCUUUACCCUCAGAAAAUUAAAAUGUUCUCAUUAAAUCACGAUGAUCCAUCCACCCUUCCAUCUAGCCACUUGUCUAAUUAAUCACCUGCCUAUCUAUCCAUCUGCCCAGCUAUUAAACAGUUACUUAGCACUUACCCACUCAGAAAAUCACUCACCGUAUCAGGUGUUGGAGGAGACUGAAGGAUGACUCAG